AGGAAAAGCAGUUUUACUGAAUUUACUAAAACGAUACACUUACAAUCUACUUAAUACAUUUAUGUUUAAGAUGGAAACAUAAUUGUAUUGUUUAAAUUCUAAAUGAAAUUCAACAUAAUCAUCAAAACAUGAUAUAAUCACUUUGCAAGAAAAUGUUCAAAUUGUUUCAGAUUUCAAACAAAUGGUGUUCAUGUAAAAUGAUUUUUUCUGCUGUUUGAUUUAUUUAAUUAAAAUAGGCCCAUGUCACACAAUUACUUUGUAUUUUCUUCUCAACUUAAUUCCAUUGUGUAGGCUAUAAUUAAUCUAAUUCAGGUUUGUGAAAUACGUCGUUUGCGCGGGAGCAACGCGCGCGAGAGCGUCUCCGCAUGCGCUUUGAAAUCCAGACCACACCAGGACCGUUGGUUUGGAAAGGACACAUGAGGGCACUGACUGUCUUUUUUCAAAGCUCGUUAAAAGUGAAAUUUGCUGUACAUUUGGAAUUCCAAAGCCUGUUCAGACAAAUUACGAGCUAAGUCAGUCCCCAACAAAGGCAGUUAGCCUUGUAGAAGUCGGUGAAUUAACUGAUGAAUACCCCUUGGCUGACUAUUUGAUUGGACAUGUGCAGAUGGUUACGUUAAAGAGAUUUGUCUGCUGCAAAGGAUGACAUUGAUACAGCUUGUGAACUUGCCAUCAGAGGACUGUCUAUCUAUCUUAAUGAGGACUCUAAAGAUCUCAUUCAGGAGUAUGCGGACAUGGAAGAAGAUCUUUUACAGUGUGCAAUUGAGAAGACUACCAUGGGCAUCUUCCUGAUAUAGCACACUGCAGACAAUGAAGCCCAUGAUGUAGGCAUUGUGCUAGAGGGUGUAGCAGUGUUUCAGGACCUUGACAGUGUGGAUUUUGGCAACUUCAAUGUUUUUGGUCUAAUUUAUGCUCUUAACCUGCAGUACCCCACAAAGUUGCGUUUUACAUAUGAAAUUUAGCAAAAACUCAUCAUGGACUUGGAUGCAGGUGAACUCUCUAUCAAGGCCCAAUUUCAAAUCUGAACUCCACCAGUGAGAUGGACUGAUUUUUGAAUGACUACUGAGACUACAAACAAUCAACCUCGGAAAAUUUCAGCAGCCUUCAUGCAAGACCACCGCAGAGGGUAAACCGUGAUCUUGUUGUUUAGACUGUUCCCCUUUGCCUGCUCUGGUUUCUUUAUCUUUUUUUUUUGUCUGAAUUUGGCCCUUCUUUGGACUGGUUCAGAAGUUGAUUGAUUAGAGAGCUGAAUCUAUGAAACAUGGUUGAACUAGCAUAAAUAAGAUACAUUGUUUAUAGUUUAGGUAAGGGUCAGAUACUGUAUUUUCACAUUGUUUUGUAAUGUCUAUAUAUAAUUAUCUUUGAAACGAAAGCGUUUUUCUUGAAAUAACAGUUCCAGGUAGGGCUGCACGAUAUUGGGAAAAAAUGACAUUGCGAUAUUUUAUUUUUCUGCGAUAUAUAUUGCGAUAUGAAAUCUAAUCUAUUUUUUUCUUACAAACAAAAAUUGGGUGAGCACACUUACAUUCUCAUUUUAAAUGAUGUAAACAUCAACACCAUCGUGUCAAUUGAUUAAUAUUUGCUGGAGAGCAGCUGGCCCGUACAGUUAAUGAAUAACGAAUCAACUACGACAGCCUACAUCGCACAUCCUGCGAUGUGUCUAUCGUGCAGCCCUAGUUCCAAGUACUGGUGUUCUUGGGUACAGUUUUAAGGUUUAAUAGUGUUACAAUGUUGUAUUAGUUUUUAAACGCACAGUUACAUGCAGUAUAAUGUUACUUAUGUUUAUGAUAUUGUUUAAAAAAAAAAGAAAUCUUGUAAAACUUAUGAAGGUUUAAAUAUAUUGUUGAUCUACAUGUUAUGCAUACAAAAUGAACUGUGUUUGUUUUUAUACUAGUUUAAUUACAACUGAUAUGUAUUUUUAUUAAAUUUAAUAAUCAGAGAAGUUAUUUAUGCUAUGCUUUUGAAAGCACAAUGUUAUUUAGACAUGCCAUUUAAAUUACACAUUGUUCAAAUUGUUAAAUAAAGGAUUUACAAAAGUUUUGUGUUACGUGAAAUGAAACAUGCGACAACAAACCAUUGAAAUGUAUUAAAAUUUAAUUUUAAUGAAGUUAUCAAAAUUAUGUUAAGAUAACUUGAUUUAAUUGCACAGAAUUAACAUGAUUGAAGCAGAUAUCUGAAAUAAAAAAAUAAUGUUAAACUAGCAUUACUGAAUCAUGUUAGUAUAACUUGAAAAGACUAUGUACACAUUACUUUUUGAAAUUGCAUAGGAUUAACACAACCAUAUUAUAAUGAAACCACAUAAAUGCAUUGGAUACUUUGAACUCAAACUGAAUGUGUGGAACCAAUGUCCAUAAUUCGAUUGAGUAAAUCCAACAAAUCUUUUUUUUCAGUGUA